rnacentral:misc_RNA from 1 species
UGCAGUGACAUUACAUGUUUACAUUUUCAAUUUUAUCGUGCCCAUACAUGACAUUGCUGACGCUGUAAUUUCUGAAAAGCUAUUUUCUUGUAAAUUAAAAAUGCCAAAAGUACGUAGAAGUAAAAAACCUCCUCCAGAUGGUUGGGAAUUAAUUGAACCAACGUUAGAAGAAUUAGAACAGAAAAUGCGAGAAGCUGAAACGGAACCUCAUGAAGGUAAACGCAAACAAGAAUCUUUAUGGCCUAUAUUUAAAAUACAUCAUCAAAAAUCACGAUAUAUAUAUGAUUUGUAUUAUAGACGAAAAGCUAUAAGUCGUGAAUUGUAUGAUUAUUGCCUGAAUGAAAAUAUAGCAGAUAAGAAUUUGAUAGCCAAGUGGAAAAAGGUGGGAUAUGAAAACUUAUGUUGUUUACGUUGUAUACAAACCAGAGAUACUAAUUUUGGUACAAAUUGUAUUUGUCGAGUACCUAAAGGCAAACUUGAAGAAGGCAGAAUAGUGGAAUGUAUUCAUUGUGGAUGUAGAGGAUGUUCUGGAUAACGUUUGGCAAUAAUAAAUAAAAUAAGAUGCGUAUUUACAUUUUUGUCAAUUAACAUUGUUUCUCGUAUUUGAAUUAUCAUACAAUUGAAGUAUACAGAUGAAUACAAAAUUCUUAAUCUCAAACAAAAAAUAUAUCACUUCUUUAAUAUGAAAUACUUACU